rnacentral:rRNA from 1 species
CAGCCGCCGCGGUAAUACGUAGGUGGCGAGCGUUGUCCGGAUUUAUUGGGCGUAAAGGGCUCGCAGGCGGUUUCUUAAGUCUGAUGUGAAAGCCCCCGGCUCAACCGGGGAGGGUCAUUGGAAACUGGGAAACUUGAGUGCAGAAGAGGAGAGUGGAAUUCCACGUGUAGCGGUGAAAUGCGUAGAGAUGUGGAGGAACACCAGUGGCGAAGGCGACUCUCUGGUCUGUAACUGACGCUGAGGAGCGAAAGCGUGGGGAGCGAACAGGAUUAGAUACCCCGGUAGUCCCUGUCUCUUAUAC